CACAGUGCAUGCCCUUCUAACCCUAAUCCCCAUUCUCUCCCCCGUUCCCUCAGCCGCCACAACUGCCCCCACUCCUGAUUCCGGCGAUUCCGGCGGCUAUCGCUGGCACGGUGCACACCGCCGAGCUCUCCUCGGUCGGCUCCAUCCUCCCCUCCGGCAAGAUUUUGCCAUCCCGACCUCUACCGCUCUCCCAAAACCCACACCCAUAUUAGGGUUUCGGCCUCCGGCAUCGCCUUCAUCGUCGGCGCAUCUCCGGCGACUCUUCUCGGUCGUCUAUAGCGCCGCCACGGGCUCACUAUCUUUCUGAUGGUCCACGUCCAGCAGGGCGGCACGGAGGAGCUACUCCCACAGGAUCCAGGGGCGCGGCGCACCCUGCAGACGCCGGUCCCGGGCUAGGGCGGGCACGGCGGCCUUGUCCUUCUGGUCGGCGGUGGCGGCGAAUGCCGGUGCUCUCUCUCCUCCUUGACCUCCAAGGAGGAGCGCCGCCGUCCCCAACAAGCUCUCUUCGCCGGAAGAGGUGGAGCAGCAAGUCCAGUAUCCCCUUGGCCUCCUAUCCUGCAGCGCUUGGACGAGCUCACCGGCUGCGUUCUGCCCUCCCAGCGUGAUGUUGGUUAUGGGAGCAUUUUCAACAACAAUGGCACGUGUUUUGACAACAUUGGCGUCGACGGGUGGAUUUGCUGCUAUAAAUGUUGGAUGACCCCUGGUUGGUGUGUAGCGUCCUGAUAAGAGGUGCCUUGCUUGAUGGUGGCAGUGUUGGCUGUAGAGUAGCAUGGUGUUCUCUGAGACAUGCUUGUAAAAUUAAUGUUUUUUGGGUCUUUUCUUUUUGCUUGUGCAUAGGUGUAUUUUUGGAUAUGUUGUAAUUUUGUUUUUGUAAUGACAUGAGCAUAUACGUAUUGUCAAAUUCUUAUUGGCUUAAAAUUUUCAUGAAAAAUGA